rnacentral:rRNA from 1 species
ACGUAGGGCGCAAGCGUUGUCCGGAAUUAUUGGGCGUAAAGAGCUCGUAGGCGGUUUGUCGCGUCUGCUGUGAAAGCCCGGGGCUCAACCCCGGGUCUGCAGUGGGUACGGGCAGACUAGAGUGCAGUAGGGGAGACUGGAAUUCCUGGUGUAGCGGUGAAAUGCGCAGAUAUCGAGAGGAACACCAGUGGCGAAGGCGGCUCUCUGGGCUCUACCUGACGCUGAGACGCGAAAGCGUGGGGAGCGAACCGGA